AGAAAUAUUUACUCGCUCUAUAUAUUUUUCUCAUCAAACUAUUAAUCUCAAACUCGAUACUCCGUGAUAACUUUUGGUCUUGUGAAAUAUAAAAUCUAGAAAUUUUCCAUCGUUAUUUAUUUUGCAAAGUAGUAGUUUACAUUUAUAAGUUUAUCAGAUGAAUUUUAUGAGAAAAACAUAUUUAUCAUAGGAAAUGUCGAAGGACAUAACAGUCAAUAUAUAAAGGCCAGCAAUCCGCGGAUCAAUCACAUAGAAGCUUGCAGUAUAAUCGCUUCAAAAUAUAAAAUAACAAAAUGUCGAAAAUAACUUUAAUAUUAUCAAUCUUCGUAUUGGUUGUUAUCUACUCUGGUGCAUAUGCAGCAUGUCCUGGUGGUUGGUGUCAUCCAUCACAAGGAUAUGGCUGUUGUGCAGGAAAUAAAUGCAAUUCGCAUUAUUUUCAAGGUACAUGUAUAACCAAUGAGGAAUACGACAUGCAAACCGCUAUAGGAGCAAUAGCAGCAACAGGAAAAUAAUAAUAACAAUACAGUGAAGAUUUAUAAAUGUAUUGUAUCAAUUAAUAAAAAUCUCUUAUUUACGAAAAAAA